UACGUAGGGGGCAAGCGUUGUCCGGAUUUAUUGGGCGUAAAGAGCGUGUAGGCGGCUAGAUAGGUCCGUUGUGAAAACUCGAGGCUCAACCUCGAGACGCCGGUGGAAACCAUCUAGCUAGAGUCCGGAAGAGGAGAGUGGAAUUCCUGGUGUAGCGGUGAAAUGCGCAGAUAUCAGGAAGAACACCAAUGGCGAAAGCAGCUUUCUGGGACGGUACUGACGCUGAGACGCGAAAGCGUGGGGAGCGAACAGG
rnacentral:rRNA from 1 species